ACAUCAGUGAGGUACAUCCUUACCUGUUACCUUAGCAAUAAGGUUUCAGAACAUGAUGAAGGGAUUCUAUGAAUAUAUGAUUAUAUUCCUUGUUUGUAAAGGGCUUGCAAUACCUUUACGAAUCCUAUCUGAA